AGCAGGUAACUUGGUAGAAACAAACAGAUCGCAGAGCAGCAGAAGAAACGAGUGGAUUUAAAGAAGAGAAGAAACUAGUCAACGUGCAUGCUGUUUUUAAGUCUGAAGUUCGCUGGUCCAGAGCAGUCUUUCUACAAACGUGUCUGAAGUCCAGCAGCUGAUGGACAUGUUGAAACUACAGCGAACACCUGCUGAUGAAGGUAUUUUCGCAGACAAGGACGAAGAAAUGUGUUGUUUAAAAGAAGGGAACAAAAGAGGUAAAGAACUGGAUGCUGGUUUUAAUCCUCCAAAUUUCUUCCACAGAACAGACAUGCAGCCGUUGUUGGUGAUUAAAGAAGAA